CCUACGGGAGGCAGCAGUGGGGGAUAUUGCACAAUGGGGGAAACCCUGAUGCAGCGACGCCGCGUGGGUGAAGAAGCGCCUCGGCGCGUAAAGCCCUGUCAGCAGGGAAGUAAAUGACGGUACCUGAAGAAGAAGCCCCGGCUAACUACGUGCCAGCAGCCGCGGUAAUACGUAGGGGGCAAGCGUUAUCCGGAUUUACUGGGUGUAAAGGGGGCGCAGACGGCGAUGCAAGCCAGGAGUGAAAGCCCGGGGCCCAACCCCGGGACUGCUCGUGGAACUGCGUGGAUAGAGUGCAGGAGGGGCAGGCGGAAUUCCUGGUGUAGCGGUGAAAUGCGUAGAUAUCAGGAGGAACACCGGUGGCGAAGGCGGCCUGCUGGACUGCAACUGACGUUGAGGCCCGAAAGCGUGGGGAGCAAACAGGAUUAGAUACCCGAGUAGUC
rnacentral:rRNA from 1 species